rnacentral:rRNA from 1 species
AACGAACGCUGGCGGCAUGCCUAACACAUGCAAGUCGAACGAAGCCUUCGGGCUUAGUGGCGCACGGGUGCGUAACGCGUGGGAAUCUGCCCUUUGGUUCGGAAUAACAGUUGGAAACGACUGCUAAUACCGGAUGAUGACGAAAGUCCAAAGAUUUAUCGACAGAGGAUGAGCCCGCGUAGGAUUAGCUAGUUGGGGUGGUAAAGGCGCACCAAGGCGACGAUCCUUAGCUGGUCUGAGAGGAUGAUCAGCCACACUGGGACUGAGACACGGCCCAGACUCCUACGGGAGGCAGCAGUGGGGAAUAUUGGACAAUGGGCGAAAGCCUGAUCCAGCAAUGCCGCGUGAGUGAUGAAGGCCCUAGGGUUGUAAAGCUCUUUUACCCGGGAUGAUAAUGACAGUACCGGGAGAAUAAGCCCCGGCUAACUCCGUGCCAGCAGCCGCCGCAG